GUGCUCGCUUUGGCAGCACAUAUACUAAAAUUGGAACAAUACAGAGAUUUGCACGGCCCCUGUGCAAGGAUGACACGAGAAUACAACGUGCUCUUACUUGUAUAG